AGUCCGAACGAUGAAUCUCUAGCUUGCUAGAUAUGAUUAGUGGCGGACGGGUGAGUAACAUUUAGGAAUCUGCCUAGUAGUGGGGGAUAGCUCGGGGAAACUCGAAUUAAUACCGCAUACGACCUACGGGUGAAAGGGGGCGCAAGCUCUUGCUAUUAGAUGAGCCUAAAUCAGAUUAGCUAGUUGGUGGGGUAAAGGCCUACCAAGGCGACGAUCUGUAACUGGUCUGAGAGGAUGAUCAGUCACACCGGAACUGAGACACGGUCCGGACUCCUACGGGAGGCAGCAGUGGGGAAUAUUGGACAAUGGGGGCAACCCUGAUCCAGCCAUGCCGCGUGUGUGAAGAAGGCCUUUUGGUUGUAAAGCACUUUAAGCAGGGAGGAGAGGCUAAUGGUUAAUACCCAUUAGAUUAGACGUUACCUGCAGAAUAAGCACCGGCUAACUCUGUGCCAGCAGCCGCGGUAAUACAGAGGGUGCGAGCGUUAAUCGGAAUUACUGGGCGUAAAGCGAGUGUAGGUGGCUCAUUAAGUCACAUGUGAAAUCCCCGGGCUUAACCUGGGAACUGCAUGUGAUACUGGUGGUGCUAGAAUAUGUGAGAGGGAAGUAGAAUUCCAGGUGUAGCGGUGAAAUGCGUAGAGAUCUGGAGGAAUACCGAUGGCGAAGGCAGCUUCCUGGCAUAAUAUUGACACUGAGAUUCGAAAGCGUGGGUAGCAAACAGGAUUAGAUACCCUGGUAGUCCACGCCGUAAACGAUGUCUACUAGCCGUUGGGGUCCUUGAGACUUUAGUGGCGCAGUUAACGCGAUAAGUAGACCGCCUGGGGAGUACGGCCGCAAGGUUAAAACUCAAAUGAAUUGACGGGGGCCCGCACAAGCGGUGGAGCAUGUGGUUUAAUUCGAUGCAACGCGAAGAACCUUACCUGGUCUUGACAUAGUGAGAAUCCUGCAGAGAUGCGGGAGUGCCUUCGGGAAUUCACAUACAGGUGCUGCAUGGCUGUCGUCAGCUCGUGUCGUGAGAUGUUGGGUUAAGUCCCGCAACGAGCGCAACCCUUUUCCUUAUUUGCCAGCGGGUUAAGCCGGGAACUUUAAGGAUACUGCCAGUGACAAACUGGAGGAAGGCGGGGACGACGUCAAGUCAUCAUGGCCCUUACGACCAGGGCUACACACGUGCUACAAUGGUAGGUACAGAGGGUUGCUACACAGCGAUGUGAUGCUAAUCUCAAAAAGCCUAUCGUAGUCCGGAUUGGAGUCUGCAACUCGACUCCAUGAAGUCGGAAUCGCUAGUAAUCGCAGAUCAGAAUGCUGCGGUGAAUACGUUCCCGGGCCUUGUACACACCGCCCGUCACACCAUGGGAGUCUAUUGCACCAGAAGUAGGUAGCCUAACGCAAGAGGGCGC
rnacentral:rRNA from 1 species